rnacentral:rRNA from 1 species
AUACGUAGGGGGCGAGCGUUGUCCGGAAUGAUUGGGCGUAAAGGGCGCGUAGGCGGCCCGGUAAGUCUGGUGUGAAAGUCCUGUUUUUAAGAUGGGAAUUGCUUUGGAUACUGUCGGGCUUGAGUGCAGGAGAGGUAAGUGGAAUUCCCAGUGUAGCGGUGAAAUGCGUAGAGAUUGGGAGGAACACCAGUGUCGAAGGCUACUUACAGGAGUGUAACUGACACUGCAGCGCGAAAUGGUUGGGAACGAACAGGAGUAGAUGCCCUGGUAGUCCACACUGUAAACGAUGAAUGCUGAGUGUAGGGGGUAUCGACCGCUUCUGUGCCGCAGUCAACACAAUAAGCAAUCCGCCUGGGGAGUACGGCCGCAAGGUUGAAACUCAAAUUAAUUGACGUGU